rnacentral:rRNA from 1 species
AUACGGAGGGUCCAAGCGUUAUCCGGAUUCAUUGGGUUUAAAGGGUCCGCAGGCGGGAAAAUAAGUCAGUGGUGAAAGCCUACAGCUCAACUGUAGAACUGCCAUUGAUACUGUUUUUCUUGAGUAUAGAUGAAGUGGGCGGAAUAUAUCAUGUAGCGGUGAAAUGCAUAGAUAUGAUAUAGAACACCGAUUGCGAAGGCAGCUCACUAAACUAUUACUGACGCUCAGGGACGAAAGCGUGGGGAGCGAACAGGAUUAGAAACCCGGGUAGUCC